rnacentral:rRNA from 1 species
GACGAACGCUGGCGGCGUGCUUAACACAUGCAAGUCGAACGGAAAGGCCUGCUUUCCCUUGUGGAUUGCGGGUACUCGAGUGGCGAACGGGUGAGUAACACGUGAGUGAUCUGCCCCCAACUUGGGUAUAAGCCUGGGAAACUGGGUCUAAUUCCCGAUAGGACUGCAGGGUGGUGCCUGUGGUGGAAAACGAUUUUCUAGUGGUUGGGGAUGAGCUCGCGGCCUAUCAGCUUGUUGGUGGGGUAAUGGCCUACCAAUGCGGGGACGGGUAGCCGGCCUGGGAGGGUGGACGGGCACGUUGGGACUGAGAUACGGCCCAGACUCCUACGGGAGGCAGCAGUGGGGAAUAUUGCACGAUGGGCGGAGGCCUGAUGCAGCGACGCCGCGGGGGGAAUGACGGGCUUCGGGUUGUAAACUCCUUUCGGCCGCGAGGAAGCCACCUGGUUGGAAGGGUGGUGACGGUAGUGGUAGAAGAAGCACCGGCUAACUACGUG